ACCUGCUGCUGAUCUUAUUUAUGAGAAUUUCAUUCAUAUAAACUGGGAGGAAUAUUUUCCGGCCCCAGCAUAGGAAACAGGAGAAAACUUUCUACCAAUCAUUCUGUGAAAAGAAAGAUAGAUCAAAUUCUACUAUGAAGCAUAUAGAUAUCAUUCAAAUUAUUUUGUUACUUUUAGACUUUGGAUAAGAGGGUCAUUGACUAAAUAUUGGAAGUUUAUUCUUAUAAAGAAAUAAGUAUUUUGUUAUCACCCUUGUUAUACUGGAUUUUUUUUUUUUUUUUGCACAAAAGAUUCUUUUAAACCACUUUUUCUUGAUUGACUAAAAUCUUGCUGAAAAAUUCAAGUACGUAAACAGACCAUUAGUCAAUCAAGUUCCCACUUAGGGGAACUUACACACACACACACACACACACACACACACACACACUCAUAUAAUUGUAGAUAGAAGUUCAGGGUGUGUUGUUGGACUUGACUUCAAGGGAAGACUCAUUUUGAACUAGGGCAGAAAUAGAGACAUCGUUAACUCAUAACAAAGGAAUGGGCAAGAGCAGCUGGAACAAGGGACUCCUACAUCUUCAGGACUCUUGUCCUCAUAACUCUGCUCUCUUCUGUAUGUUAGUCACUGCUUAAUUUCUCCUGGGGCAUGCAGAGCUUUCCAUGCUGUGAAGGACUUGAAUGUUGGCAGCAAGUCUGGAUUCAAAUCAUUCCAGAUUCACUCUCAGAAAGAAAUUAAAAAAAAAAAAAAAAGAAGAAGAAGCUCUUUUCCUCCAUUCUCAAUUCUUUCUCACCCCAAUCUUAGUCUAAAGCCUCUCUAAAAUGGACAAUGGAAGUGUGCAGUUCUGACUUCUCACUAAAGCCAGUGAGGCCGUGUCAGGCGGGAAGAAAGGAAGCUCCAAUUGAGACCAUGUGGUGACAGCUGGGAUGGGGGAGCACAGGGAGGAAAAGAAGAAUUCCAAAAAGAGGAAUGCUAGACAUACAGUUCUGGAGGCCAAAAGUGCAAGAUCAAGGUGCCUGCAGUGCUCAUUUCUGACUUAUAUUCUUUGAAAGCCAAAUACUGUCAGUAGAAUUCUUGCCAGCAACAACUCCCCAGAGAAGAAGAUACUUGAACAAAAUUCUGAGAACCACUAAUGAUUCUGAACUUCUUGGACUCAAAACCUCUAUGUCAUUUGAAACAUUUAUUUUUUAAUUAGAAGGUAUUUAUAUCACUCACAAGAUAACAUAUAUGCAAGGUUAUUUGUUGCAGCAUUCUUUAUAACAGCAAAAGAUGAGAACCUAUCUUAAGUAUCCAUCGAUGCUGGGCUGAUUCAUAGCUCAUGGUAUAGACGAUGUAGUUGUAAAAAAGAAAUAUAUGCACAUAUAUAUAUAUACAUAUAUAUAUUCUGUGUGGUGAUAUAUUAUACUACACAUAUAGACUACCCUAGGAUAGGUUUCAAAUUUAAAAGAAACAUGGUGCAGGACAAUGAAUAUAGUAGCUUUCACUUGUGAAAGAAAAGGGAGGAGGGAAAUAAGAUAUAUAUAUAUACACAUUUAUAUUUACAUGAAGAAAUGCAAGUUGGAAAUUAAAAGCUAAUACUUACCAAAAGGGGCCAGAAAGGGAAAAGAUAUGACUAUGAGACUUCUCAGUGUAUAUCUUUUUAUACAAAAAUCAUUCUGAUUUUUAAAUAAUUUAACCAUGUUAGCUAUUAAAAAAGUAAGAGUAUUGAAAGAAAAAUGAAAUAAAAUUUAUUGUUUGUACUAACCUUUUUCAUGAUUAAAUCACUGAAUGCUGCAGGAAAGCUGUUCUCAGCCAUAAUGCUCUGAACCAUUUUGUCUCUAUCAGAGGUGAAGUAUUCUGUAUACUAAAAUAUCAAGGUUAGGAAUGAUUUUUUUAAAAUAAAUUAUAGUAGAGCCAAUGUUUUUCCCAAUACUCUCAUGCACUUAAUAUCCAAUGUGCAUCCUUGAAUAGGAGAGAAAUAGAAGUUAUAACUGCUUGCCGGGAAUUUGGAAGCGCAGUACAGUAGUCCUGCCUUUAUGCACAGGGGAUCCUUCCCAAGACCCCCAGUGGAUGCCUGAAACCAAGGACAGUACCAACCCCUAGAUUACAUUAUGUUUUUUUUUUUUCCCUAUACAUAUGUCUGUAUGACAAAGUCUAAUUUAUAAGUUAGGCACAGUAAGACAUUAACAACAAUAACAAAUAAUAAAAUCAAUAAAAUCGAACUAUUUUAACAAGAUGCUACAACAAAAGUAAUGGGCAUGUGGUCUCUCUCUUUCAAAAUAUCUUAUUGUAGGGAUGCCUGGGUGGCUCAAUG